GACGAACGCUGGCGGUAUGCUUAACACAUGCAAGUCGAACGAGACGAAGAAGAAGUGCUUGCACGGAUUCUUUAGAAAGUGGCGAACGGGUGAGUAACGCGUGGGUAACCUGCCCUAUGGAAAGGAAUAGCCUCGGGAAACUGGGAGUAAUGCCUUAUAGUAUAUCGGGAUCGCAUGAUACUGAUAUGAAACGCUCCGGUGCCAUAGGAUGGACCCGCGUGCCAUUAGCUAGUUGGUGAGAUAACAGCCCACCAAGGCGACGAUGGGUAACCGGUCUGAGAGGGCGAAGGGUGACACUGGGACGAGGACACGGUCCAGAAGCCUACGGGAGGCAGCAGUGGGGAAUAUUGCGCAAUGGGGGAAACCCUGACGCAGCAAUACCGCGUGAGUGAAGAAGGUUUUCGGAUCGUAAAGCUCUGUUAUUGGGGAAGAAAAAAGACGGUACCCAAGAAGAAAGUCCCGGCUAACUACGUGCCAGCAGCCGCAGUAA
rnacentral:rRNA from 1 species